rnacentral:rRNA from 1 species
GAGGAAGUGGGGAUACGUCAAGUCAUCAUGGCCCUUAUGGGUAGGGCUUCACACGUCAUACAAUGGUCGGUACAGAGGGUCGCCAACCCGCGAGGGGGAGCCAAUCCCAGAAAACCGAUCGUAGNAGCAGUCUGCAACUCGACUGCAUGAAGUCGGAAUCGCUAGUAAUCGCGGAUCAGCAUGUCGCGGGUGAUA